GGCGGUAUGCUUACACAUGCAGUCGAACGCGAAAGUCUCUUCGGAGGCGAGUAGAGUGGCGCACGGGUGAGUAACACGUAGAUAACCUGCCCCUUAGUCUGGGACAACCUUCUGAAAAGAGGGCUAAUACCGGAUAAUACUUUUAGCCAUACGGUUUUAAGUUGAAAGAUUUAUCGCUGGGGGAUGGGUCUGCGCACCAUUAGCUUGUUGGUGAGGUAACGGCUCACCAAGGCGACGAUGGUUAGCGGGUCUGAGAGGAUGGUCCGCCACACUGGAACUGAGACACGGUCCAGACUCCUACGGGAGGCAGCAGUGGGGAAUUUUGCGCAAUGGGCUAAGGCCUGACGCAGCAAUACCGCGUGAGUGAAGAAGGCCCUUGGGUCGUAAAGCUCUUUUUUCAGGGAAGAUAAUGACGGUACCUGAAGAAUAAGCACCGGCUAACUCCGUGCCAGCAGCCGCGGUAAUACGGAGGGUGCGAGCGUUGUUCGGAUUUACUGGGCGUAAAGGGCACGCAGGCGGCAUAACAAGCUAAGGGUGAAAUCCCGGGGCUCAACUCCGGAACUGUUCUUAGAACUGUUAAGCUAGAGAUAGUUAGAGGCGGGUGGAAUUCCUGGUGUAGAGGUGAAAUUCGUAGAUAUCAGGAGGAACACCGGCGGCGAAGGCGGCCCACUGGGAUUGAUCUGACGCUAAGGCGCGAAAGCGUGGGGAGCAAACGGGAUUAGAUACCCCGGUAGUCCACGCUGUAAACGAUGGAUACCAGCUGUUUGAGGAAUCGACCCCUCAAGUGGCGCAGCUAACGCGAUGAGUAUCCCGCCUGGGGAGUACGGUCGCAAGACUAAAACUCAAAGGAAUUGACGGGGGCCCGCACAAGCGGUGGAGCAUGUGGUUUAAUUCGACGCAACGCGAAGAACCUUACCUGGGUUUGACAUCCUCGGACCACUCUAGAGAUAGAGUUUUCUCUUCGGAGACCGAGUGACAGGUGCUGCAUGGCUGUCGUCAGCUCGUGUCGUGAGAUGUUGGGUUAAGUCCCGCAACGAGCGCAACCCUGUCCUUAGUUGCCAGCACGUAAUGGUGGGAACUCUAAGGAGACUGCCGGUGAUAAACCGGAGGAAGGUGGGGACGACGUCAAGUCAUCAUGGCCCUUAUGAGUAGGGCUACACACGUGCUACAAUGGUCGGUACAGAGGGCUGCCAAGCCGCGAGGUGGAGCGAAUCCCUUAAAGCCGAUCGUAGUCCGGAUCGGAGUCUGCAACUCGACUCCGUGAAGUCGGAAUCGCUAGUAAUCGCGAAUCAGCAUGUCGCGGUGAAUACGUUCCCGGGCCUUGUACACACCGCCCGUCACACCAUGGGAGUGGGCUGCAAAAGAAGUGGGUAGCUUAACCUUCGGGAGGGCGCUCACC
rnacentral:rRNA from 1 species